CCUACGGGAGGCAGCAGUGGGGAAUUUUGGACAAUGGGGGCAACCCUGAUCCAGCCAUGCCGCGUGUGUGAAGAAGGCCUUCGGGUUGUAAAGCACUUUCGGCCGGAACGAAAUCGCGCCCGCGAAUAUCGUGCGUGGAUGACGGUACCGGAAGAAGAAGCACCGGCUAACUACGUGCCAGCAGCCGCGGUAAUACGUAGGGUGCAAGCGUUAAUCGGAAUUACUGGGCGUAAAGCGUGCGCAGGCGGCUUCGCAAGUCAGGCGUGAAAUCCCCGAGCUCAACUUGGGAAUGGCGCUUGAAACUGCGAGGCUAGAGUGUGGCAGAGGGAGGUAGAAUUCCACGUGUAGCAGUGAAAUGCGUAGAUAUGUGGAGGAAUACCGAUGGCGAAGGCAGCCUCCUGGGCCAACACUGACGCUCAUGCACGAAGACGUGGGAGGACGAACAGGAGUAGUAUACCUCGUAGUACCACCGACCCUAACCUACUGUCUAACUAGUUGUUGGGGUAGGUUAAGUACCUUACGUAACG
rnacentral:rRNA from 1 species